rnacentral:rRNA from 1 species
UACGAAGGGGGCUAGCGUUGCUCGGAAUUACUGGGCGUAAAGCGCACGUAGGCGGAUAUUUAAGUCAGGGGUGAAAUCCCGGGGCUCAACCCCGGAACUGCCUUUGAUACUGGGUAUCUCGAGUCCGAGAGAGGUGAGUGGAAUUCCGAGUGUAGAGGUGAAAUUCGUAGAUAUUCGGAGGAACACCAGUGGCGAAGGCGGCUCACUGGCUCGGUACUGACGCUGAGGUGCGAAAGCGUGGGGAGCAAACAGGG